ncrna:unclassified sequences pemK RNA
ACAAUGAUACUUGCGUUAGCUGUACGUCACAGAACAGAACGCCCCGCCAUGAGCAUGGGGGGAGGUGAAAAACCUAUGG